GAAUGGAAGCAAGAGAAGCAGAGAGAGAGAGAGAGGAAAAAAAUAUAUAGAUUUGAGCAAAGCACACAGGCAUUAAGGAUAAUUCAGAGAGAGAUUUAGAACAUUCAAAGACAAAUACGAACCCGUGCGUGCGUGAUGGCGAAGGGCAAAAACAGGUACAGACUGAUUCGGGAUUUAGAUCGGAGUCUCCGAUGGAUUCAGAACUAAGUUUUUGGACUUCUGUUCCCGUCAAUUAGAGAUAAU